rnacentral:rRNA from 1 species
CGUAGUUGGCCGGUCCUUCUUCUGGAGGUACCGUCAAUUUCUUCCCUCCUGAAAGGGGUUUACAACCCGAAGGCCUUCAUCCCCCACGCGGUGUCGCUGCGUCAGGCUUUCGCCCAUUGCGCAAGAUUCCCUG